UACAGAGGUCCCAAGCGUUGUUCGGAUUCAUUGGGCGUAAAGGGUGUGUAGGCGGCGCCGUAAGUCGGGUGUGAAAUCUCGGGGCUUAACUCCGAAACUGCAUUCGAUACUGCGGUGCUUGAGGACUGGAGAGGAGACUGGAAUUCAUGGUGUAGCAGUGAAAUGCGUAGAGAUCAUGAGGAAGACCAGUGGCGAAGGCGGGUCUCUGGACAGUUCCUGACACUGAGACACGAAGGCCAGGGGAGCAAACGGG
rnacentral:rRNA from 1 species